GAAGUGCGACAAGUGUCAUGACUUGCAGAUUCCCGAGAGCUGACAAAUUUCUGAAUGCAAAUGGCGGCCGCUACCUCGGCCAUGUAUUGUAGAGUGUAGUUGUUCAUACUCAUCAUCCCCUAGAAUCAUCGAAGUGCUCACGCACCGUCUGGUGAUGCUAGGAGGCAUCUGCGCUUGUAAUCCUACCAUUGCGAGCGUGAAAAUUAAGAGUGGGAAGUGAGACACUUAAUUGUGUCUCACCUUCCGACUUCGAAUAUGCCUAUGGGCUCUAUCCGAAGUAACCAUAAACUCUCUCCAUUUCUAACAUCCACCUCUGCAAUGCAGGAGAACCCGCUGAACUUAA
rnacentral:misc_RNA from 1 species